GCCCACGCCAGCAUAGCUGUUGCCCACGCCAGCACCGCUCUCGACCUACAAGGCAGGGGGAAGCGGAGGUUGAAUAUGUUUAUACGUUGGCUGCCUGUCAGGUUUACAUUUUGUUAAAUCCUGUAACGCUUACCCGUAGCAGACACUUGGGGGCAGGACUAUAAAGCCCACGAGGCCUCUGGGUUUUUGGCCAUGGAUAGCCGACCUCUGUUCAGCCUCCUUCCUCUUCUCUCCCCGUCCUCCACCUCCCCAGCCGGCCAGCACUCCUCCAGAUGCUCCGCUCUCACUGCAGGGGCCUGCGGACUGGCGGCCGCCGCCUCCACCAGGUAUGACUGCUGCAGGAGGCUGCCUCCUUUUUUGGAUCAAGAGCCCGUGAGGCGAUUAUGCAGAGGAUCCCAGGAUAAAGUAAAAGACACGGUUUUAUGAAUGAGGGCCCUGGUUCCUCGUUUUUCCUUGGUGUUUGUUGGAUGAUUGGGAUUAGCAUCAUAACUGACACCCUCCCCCAUAAUAAAUUUGACACAACAAAGCAAGCAAUAUUUAAAUUUUUUUUUAAUAUAUCUCACAAUUUAUUCCUUUAUUUACAAAAGACAGUGGCCGUGUGACAUAAAACUAUGUUUUGUAAAAUGAACAUGAAAAAACAAAUGUGUACCAGAAGCAUAACUGUACGUAACACAUACAUAGAUAAAUAACAUCGGGGGAGUAUUGAUGAGGUUGUCUUCUUGCACAUCGUCUCUCAAUAAAAAGGUCACAAUGUUUGCACGUCUCCAUGAUUGGCGGCCUUUUCUAUGUGUACCCCGAGUUUGGUCUGACAGGUUAAUCAGUAUUGCCUCCUCGCUGGCUGGAGUGACAUCAGUGGUUAUCUGUUGGUAGAUCUGGAAUGUCUAUAACUAUCUGAGCUCUGUUAUUGUGGAAAGCUAGCGUCUCAGGUUCAAGGAUCAGAGACCGUUCAGCAGGCGUUCUGUAAGUAAACCAUGGGCAACGACAAUGCACUAAUGCGGAUAUAUUCUGAUAUAUAAUUUGUAUGACGCACAAAGUCGGCAAACGGUUUGGCACAAAUGUAAAGGCUGAA